GAUGAACGCUGGCGGCGUGCUUAACACAUGCAAGUCGAACGAAGAAGAGUUGAAUGAGAGCUUCGGCAGGAUUUCUUCUCAUCUUAGUGGCGGACGGGUGCGUAACGUGUGGGCAACCUGCCCUGUACUGUGGAAUAAUCACUGGAAACGGUGACUAAUACCGCAUGUCAUCACCGGAGGGCAUCCUAUGGUGAAAAAAGGAUUUAUUCGGUACAGGAUGGGCCCGCAUCUGAUUAGCUAGUUGGUGAGAUAACAGCCCACCAAGGCGACGAUCAGUAGCCGACCUGAUAGGGUGAUCGGCCACGUUGGGACUGAGACACGGCCCAAACUCCUACGGGAGGCAGCAGUGGGGAAUAUUGCACAAUGGGGGAAACCCUGAUGCAGCAACGCCGCGUGAAGGAUGAAGGUUUUCGGAUCGUAAACUUCUAUCAACAGGGAAGAAACAAAUGACGGUACCUGAAUAAGAAGCCCCGGCUAACUACGUGCCAGCAGCCGCGGUAACAC
rnacentral:rRNA from 1 species